CAUGUUAGCGGCGUAGACUUAAAUAAUUAUUCCUGUCAUGAUUAGCAUUCUCAUGGCCCAAGCGAUUUUAAAUUUAGUCACUGAAUUCAAUUGUUCAAUCCUGUUUGAGGUCAAGACUACACUUGCAUUUUCCCCAACCGUUUGUAGAAGAAACGAAGAAUUGAUUCUGUUCAUAGGUCAUUCUCGUUAAGGAACGUGGUGAUGAAACAAU